AUUGAACGCUGGCGGCAGGCUUAACACAUGCAAGUCGAGCGGGGUGAUGGUGCUUGCACUAUCACUUAGCGGCGGACGGGUGAGUAAUGCUUAGGAAUCUGCCUAUUAGUGGGGGACAACAUCUCGAAAGGGAUGCUAAUACCGCAUACGUCCUACGGGAGAAAGCAGGGGAUCACUUGUGACCUUGCGCUAAUAGAUGAGCCUAAGUCGGAUUAGCUAGUUGGUGGGGUAAAGGCCCACCAAGGCGACGAUCUGUAGCGGGUCUGAGGGGAUGAUCCGCCACACUGGGACUGAGACCCGGCCCAGACUCCUACGGGAGGCAGCGGUGGGAAACAUUGGAAAAUGGGCGGAAGCCUGAUCCAGCCAUGCCGCGUGUGUGAAGAAGGCCUUAUGGUUGUAAAGCACUUUAAGCGAGGAGGAGGCUACUUUAGUUAAUACCUAGAGAUAGUGGACGUUACUCGCAGAAUAAGCACCGGCUAACUCUGUGCCAGCCGCCGCCGUAA
rnacentral:rRNA from 1 species